AGGAAUCUGUCUCCUUGUUCAGAAAAAGAACCAGAUUGCAAAGAUCUACUUCAAUCAUCAAAAGGUAGCUGGAAGAGAGAACAGAGAAGCAGAAAAAGAGCAGCUCCUGGGCAGCAAUCCCAUGACUUGGAAGCACUCACUCAAAUAUAUUUGUUACGUGAAGAAUCAAUAUGUCAUACUGUUUCUUUUGGAUCUUGUUCCUCAUACUGCUUAUAAUGAAGAGUAAGGGAAGAAUAUUUUUUUAGCCAGGCCACAAGGAACAUGAGAUGUUUAUUUUUAUCAUAGUCCUCCCUACAGGUUUGCAAUUAUUUUUGCUGGCAAAAUUAGAUUUAAAUUUUCUUUUUA
rnacentral:lncRNA from 1 species